rnacentral:rRNA from 1 species
UGCUUUUGAGAUACUCUCUUUGUGAACAAGCCUGUUCCCGUCUGAUCUUGGAAACUAAGCAGGGUCGGGCCUGGUUAGUACUUGGAUGGGAGACCACCCAGGAAGACCAGGUGCUAUAGGUG